rnacentral:tRNA from 1 species
CUAAGGAUGGUUCUUCAGAAGCUUGCUUCUAUCGAACCGUUUUAGAAACAUCAGUGGCCAACGGUCGUCAGGAUCGUUGAGCUGCAUUGGCGGGAUUUCGCCGUCUUCGUUUCUCUUUCUUCGCGGACGAACACGCGCUGGGGCUGCAACCUUGCAGAAUCCCUGGUCCUUGACUGGAUAUGCGUUAGGGGCUUGUAGCUCAGUUGGUUAGAGCGCGCGCUUGAUAAGCGUGAGGUCGGAAGUUCAAGUCUUCCCAGGCCCACCACACUCAUCGAGUGAGCAUUCGUCUUCUGGUUACGGGGCCAUAGCUCAGCUGGGAGAGCGCGUGCUUUGCAAGCAUGAGGUCGUCGGUUCGAUCCCGUCUGGCUCCACCAGAUGGUUUGAUCACCGACUACUCAUACCGUCGUCCGCGAAACAUCACUUCGCACUUACUAGUCCGGAUGGACGGUGAGCUGCGUGAUUUCUGACAUCGUAAAGAGGAGAUCGAUCCGAGUUGGAUCGUGCGGCAAGCAAUUGCCACGCGAUACUUCAUUAUCUCCGGAUCAUUUCGGCGCUCGUGCGUCUUCCAGGGUAGCUCACAAGGCUGCAUCUGAAGGACGAGCGAGUUGUAAAUGAUCCUUUUAGCGAAGCUUGACCGCCUCGCUAUCGGAACGAUCUUACGAAGCAAGCUGGUCUUUCUAAUCAUUGUCCGGCUGCAGAUAGCGUUCAUCGAGGGCGCGUGCCGCAAGGUAGUUCUGCAGACAACAUUCUGCCGAGUGUGUGGACAUUGAUAAUGAGAG